CCUACGGGUGGCAGCAGUGGGGAAUAUAGCGCAAUGGGCGAAAGCCUGACGCAGCGACGCCGCGUGAGGGAUGAAGGUCUUCGGAUCGUAAACCUCUGUCAGCAGGGAAGAACGGUCACUGUGCUAAUCAGCAGUGAAUUGACGGUACCUGCAAAGGAAGCACCGGCUAACUCCGUGCCAGCAGCCGCGGUAAUACGGAGGGUGCGAGCGUUAAUCGGAAUUACUGGGCGUAAAGCGCUCGUAGGCGGUAUGUCAAGUCAAGGGUGAAAUCCCCGCGCUCAACGUGGGAACUGCCUUUGAAACUGGCAAACUGGAGUGUGUGAGAGGAUAGUGGAAUUCCAGGUGUAGGAGUGAAUUCCGUAGAUAUCUGGGGGAAAAUCAGUGGUGAGGGCGACUAUCUGGCACAUAACUGCCGCUGAGGAGCAAAAGCGUGGGUAGCAAACAGGAUUAGAUCCCCCAGUAGUC
rnacentral:rRNA from 1 species